rnacentral:ncRNA from 1 species
UUGCGAAGAGCAUGUUUGAGGACGAUGUUGCCGAAACUCACGCCCUUGAGCCGCGCCGUUCGGAUGUAUUGCGCGGUCAUCACCUCGGUCAUACUCGCCCGCGUCAUCCGCGCGAUGUAGCCCAUGCCAUAAAGCGCAAUGGUCAGGACGGGCAGGGUGAAGUUCUCGAAUGUUGCGUUC